rnacentral:rRNA from 1 species
AGGACGAACGCUGGCGGCGUGCUUAACACAUGCAAGUCGAGCGGAAAGGCCCUUCGGGGUACUCGAGCGGCGAACGGGUGAGUAACACGUGAGUAACCUGCCCCUAGCUCUGGGAUAGCUCCGGGAAACCGGGAUUAAUACCAGAUACGACCACUUUAGACAUCUGUCAUGGUGGAAAGGAUUCCGGCUAGGGGUGGGCUCGCGGCCUAUCAGCUUGUUGGUGGGGUAACGGCCUACCAAGGCGACGACGGGUAGCCGGCCUGAGAGGGCGACCGGCCACACUGGGACUGAGACACGGCCCAGACUCCUACGGGAGGCAGCAGUGGGGAUAUUGCGCAAUGGGCGAAAGCUUGACGCAGCGACGCCGCGUGGGGGAUGAAGGCCUUCGGGUUGUAAACCCCUUUCAGCAGGGACGAAGCGAAAGUGGCGGUACCUGCAGAAGAAGCGCCGGCUAACUACGUGCCAGCAGCCGC